AGCGAACGCUGGCGGCAGGCCUAACACAUGCAAGUCGAACGAACUCUUCGGAGUUAGUGGCGGACGGGUGAGAAACACGUGGGAACGUGCCUUUAGGUUCGGAAUAACUCAGGGAAACUUGUGCUAAUACCGAAUGUGCCCUUCGGGGGAAAGAUUUAUCGCCUUUAGAGCGGCCCGCGUCUGAUUAGCUAGUUGGUGAGGUAAAGGCUCACCAAGGCGACGAUCAGUAGCUGGUCUGAGAGGAUGAUCAGCCACAUUGGGACUGAGACACGGCCCAAACUCCUACGGGAGGCAGCAGUGGGGAAUCUUGCGCAAUGGGCGAAAGCCUGACGCAGCCAUGCCGCGUGAAUGAUGAAGGUCUUAGGAUUGUAAAAUUCUUUCACCGGGGACGAUAAUGACGGUACCCGGAGAAGAAGCCCCGGCUAACUUCGUG
rnacentral:rRNA from 1 species